GUGUUACAAUGGCAGGUACAGAGGGAUGCUACCGGGCGACCGGAUGCGGAUCUCGAAAGCCUGUCCCAGUUCGGACUGGAGUCUGCAACCCGACUCCACGAAGUUGGAUUCGCUAGUAAUCGCGCAUCAGCCAUGGCGCGGUGAAUACGUUCCCGGGCCUUGUACACACCGCCCGUCAAGCCAUGGGAGCCGGGGGCGCCUGAAGUCCGGGACCGCGAGGACCGGCCUAGGGCGAAACUGGUAACUGGGGCUAAGUCGUAACAAGGUAAC
rnacentral:rRNA from 1 species